GUUUAUAUGGUGUAGUCAGCACUUUAAGUUUUCGUCUUGAGAGGGGGAGAUUAAAGCCCUAUAAACU
rnacentral:tRNA from 1 species